GGAUUCCCCUAGUAAUGGCGAAUGAAGAGGGAAAAGCCCAAAUUUGUAAUCUGGCUCUUUUAGAGUCCGAGUUGUAAUUUUAAGAACUGUUUUCUGUGCUGGACCAUGUACAAGUCUGUUGAAAAGCAGCAUCAUAGAAGGUGAUAAUCCUGUUCAUGAUAUGGACUACCAGUACAAUAUGAUACAGUCUCUAAGAGUCGAGUUGUUUGGGAAUGCAGCUCAAAGUGGGUGGUAAAUUCCAUCUAAGGCUAAAUAUUGAUGAGAGACCGAUAGUGAACAAGUACCGUGAGGGAAAGAUGAAAAGAACUUUGGAAAGAGAGUUAACAGUACGUGAAAUUGUUAAAAGGGAAACAAUUGAAGUUAGACUUGUUAUUGUUAGUUCAACCUUUUCUAAAGGAGUAUUCUAAUGAUUAACAGACCAAUAUCAAUUUUUGGGUGUUGGAUAAGGGUUCAAGGAAAUGUAGCAGUCUCUGACUGUGUUAUAGUCUCUGAGCUUUGAUACAAUGCUUAAGAUUGAGGAAUGCAGUAAGCCUUUUAAGGUGGAACAUAUUGUUGUUCUUCUUACUGAGGAUGUUGGUGCAAUAGCUUUAAAUGACCCGUCUUGAAACACGGACCAAGGAGUCUAACAUGCCUGCGAGUAUUUGGGUGUUUGAAACCCUUAUGCAUAAUGAAAGUAAAUGUAAAUGGGAUCUUUUUUAAGUGCACCAUUGACCAGUCCAGAUUAUUUUAUAUGAUGGUACUGAGUAAGAGCAAAGUAUGUUGGGACCCGAAAGAU
rnacentral:rRNA from 1 species